UUCCAUGGUAACAUUCACUGCUCUUGCUGACUUCUUGGAUUGUACAAAGGCCAAUAAAGACAAGGGGAAGUUUUCUCAUAAGCUAAUCAAAUACAACACUUUGAACAGGAAACAAAUUCAGUUUGAUUAGAACAUCAAAUGCAAUACUAGCAGUGAGUUCUAAUCUAGAAGAAACCAAAGUAUGAAAAAAGUUCUCAUGUUGUUACAUGUCAAUUAGAUGAUGUUACACAAGAUGACUACUAACGGGAUGUUAUGUAUUAUAGAAGAAUUCUACAUUAGCCAUAGAAGCAUUUGUUUUCAAAUGCUUUGAUCACCAUCUUUUAAUCAAGCUGGUCACUUCCCUUUUGCAUUCGCUUCAGCGGUUCUUUUUUCCAUUCGGAUGCUCACGUUCAUCGAAAUCUAGAGCUCUUCAUCACUUAUCUGAAACCUAGAUUAGGACAUGCGGAACACUUCUUCACCUAUGUCGUUCAUCACAAUGUUAAAGACGGUAGCGCUGUUGCGACCAGAUUCACCUCUUGUUUCUUCUUUUACAACCAGUUCCCAAAAUCCACAAUUUUGACUACAACAAGCGAAUAAUUUCCCUUUAUUAUCGUUAUCCUUUUCCACCACAACGCAUUUCUCAAUUUCAUGCUUACAUCAGGUGUAAGGGCGUUUCAUUUUGCAAUCGAAAUCUUUUUUUUUUUUUUAUCUUUAGCCCUAUAACCAUGACAAAUUUCAGAGUUCUUCCGAGCAUUCUACGACGGAAAUAAAACACCAACAACAAAUAUGUAGUCAGUUAUUUAUCAAUACAAUACGAUACAUAAAUUAGAAUUAAUGCCAAUACCGAAGCCAAAUAAGCUAUGCAGAACUAAUUUUUAAAAAUCAAGUUUAUUAAAUCACAAUUACGCUCAGUUAAAAAAAUGCUUUCAAUCUUAUUUGUAAGGGCACACUCAAAGCGAAAAAUCCACCUGAGAACAAGUCGAUAGGUUUGAUGGGUGCAACUUGCUUGCGAUGUCCGAUUGUUUGAAUUGUGGGUUGUGCCACGGUGAAACCUUUGGCAAAAGUGCGUUAUGGCAAUCAGAGAAGGAGCGUUUAGAUUUUGGGCUUUCAAUUUUUCAGAUUUCAAUUGUGGGAUAGGGAAGUUUUUGUUCUAUGGAUGUUCGCCCCUUUUUUGACAGCGAUCGGAGAUGGUUGGUCGUGCAACAACGACACCGUCGACGAAAAUGCGACGCGACGACACCGGAGAUGUAGGGUUGGAUAUUGAGGCUUUUUGCGGUUUCCGGAGAGAAGGUUGUGGGAGAGUGAUGUGUGUUGUUCGUCUUUUAAAUUCUUUCAAAUGUCCCUUUGUUUAAUUUGCAAAUGCC
rnacentral:lncRNA from 1 species